rnacentral:rRNA from 1 species
AGUAAUAUAUAGAUAAUGUGCCUCUUAGUCUGGGAUAGCCAUUGGAAACGAUGAUUAAUACUAGAUACUCCUUCUAACUCUAAUGUUAGUCGGGAAAGUUUUUUCGCUAAGAGAUCAGUCUAUAUCCCAUCAGCUUGUUGGUAGUGUAAGAGACUACCAAGGCAAUGACGGGUAGCGGGUUUGAGAGGAUGAUCCGCCACACUGGUACUGAGACACGGACCAG